rnacentral:rRNA from 1 species
UACAGAGGGGGCAAGCGUUGUUCGGAUUUACUGGGCGUAAAGGGCGCGUAGGCGGCGCGGUAAGUCACUUGUGAAAUCUCUGAGCUUAACUCAGAACGGCCAAGUGAUACUGCAGUGCUAGAGUGUGGAAGGGGCAAUCGGAAUUCUUGGUGUAGCGGUGAAAUGCGUAGAUAUCAAGAGGAACACCUGAGGUGAAGACGGGUUGCCGGGCCAACACUGACGCUGAGGCGCGAAAGCCAGGGGAGCAAACGGG